ACGAACGCUGGCGGCGUGCCUAAUACAUGCCAGUAGAACGCUGAAACUUGGUGCUUGCACCGAGCGGAUGAGUUGCGAACGGGUGAGUAACGCGUAGGUAACCUGCCUGGUAGCGGGGGAUAACUAUUGGAAACGAUAGCUAAUACCGCAUAAGAGUAGAUGUUGCAUGACAUUUGCUUAAAAGGUGCAAUUGCACCACUACCAGAUGGACCUGCGUUGUAUUAGCUAGUUGGUGGGGUAACGGCUCACCAAGGCGACGAUACAUAGCCGACCUGAGAGGGUGAUCGGCCACACUGGGACUGAGACACGGCCCAGACUCCUACGGGAGGCAGCAGUAGGGAAUCUUCGGCAAUGGACGGAAGUCUGACCGAGCAACGCCGCGUGAGUGAAGAAGGUUGUCGGAUCGUAAAGCUCUGUUGUAAGAGAAGAACGAGUGUGAGAGUGGAAAGUUCACAAUGUGACGGUAUCUUACCAGAAAGGGACGGCUAACUACGUG
rnacentral:rRNA from 1 species